rnacentral:rRNA from 1 species
AGCGGCGGACGGGUGAGUAACGCGUGGGAACCUGCCCUAUACAGGGGGAUAACAGUUAGAAAUGACUGCUAAUACCGCAUAAGCGCACGGAGCCGCAUGGCGCUGAGUGAAAACGAUAGUGGUAUAGGAGGGACCCGCGUCUGAUUAGGUAGUUGGUGGGGUAACGGCCCACCAAGCCGACGAUCAGUAGCCGACCUGAGAGGGUGACCGGCCACAUUGGGACUGAGACACGGCCCAAACUCCUACGGGAGGCAGCAG